AGUCGGGGGCUGCAAAGCCUUCGUCUACACCCAUGUCUUUUGCGUACUUCUUGUUUCCUCGGUGGCGCAAGCCGCCGAUUGGACAAACCAAAACCUUUUUUGUAAUUGCAAUCAGCGUCUGAAAAUAAUCUAAUUAUUUACAACUUUCAACAACGGAUCUCUUGGUUCUGGCAUCGAUGAAGAACGCAGCGAAAUGCGAUAAGUAGUGUGAAUUGCAGAAUUCAGUGAAUCAUCGAAUCUUUGAACGCACAUUGCGCCCCUUGGUAUUCCAUGGGGCAUGCCUGUUCGAGCGUCAUUUGUACCCUCAAGCUUUGCUUGGUGUUGGGCGUCUUGUCGUAUUACGACUCGCCUUAAAUACAUUGGCAGCCGGCACUUUGGCCUAGGAGCGCAGCACAUUUUGCGAUCGUAGCCCGUUGUACUGGCGUCCAUCAAGAACAUUUACCACGUUUGACCUCGGAUCAGGUAGGGAUACCCGCUGAACUUAAGCAUAUCA
rnacentral:rRNA from 1 species